rnacentral:sRNA from 1 species
UUUUUUUCUUCUUCUUCU